AAGAGCGUGUGAGAGCACCUUAUAAGAUUCCAGAGCAGCAGACUUCUGUCAGUGUACGGCUACUGUAUAUAGGUGUGCUUGGAGAUGAGACUGAAGCUGGGGGAGUGAACUGAAAGAUAACUUUUUUUUUAUGAGCAGGGAUUAGUGUUAGAGUCAGAACUUUGGAUGAACUUUUACAACUAAUCCUUUCUUAAUUUGAAAAACAUGGAGCUGAGGCCAAUAUGUAUAGAAAAUACCCGUGUACAUUUUUCUCAGUCUGCACAAGGUGUAGUCUAUAAAGAUGAGUGGACUGAAGUGUCUCAAACGUGUUAGUGACUCACUGUCAUAAUGUGUUACAGUUAGAGUCUUACAGUUAUAAUGUUAGAUUAUUUUAGUGUAAACCGUUUGUUAUUCUGUGGUUUAUUUUUGUGUUUUCCUGUUUUAUUUUGAAAGUUUUCGAACUGCCGUGUUUUUUCCCUGUCGCCAUUAACUAAUUACACCUGCGGUGAAUUUCAGCGUUUCACACGCUACGCUACGUUAAAUUACCAUUUCUGACUUUUUUUUUAAACCAAUUUCACAAUUGGUUUAAUUUACUAAGUAUUUUGCUCACUUCUCCGUUGCCCUAAAUUGGCUAAACCCGGUUCUGUUUGCCCACAACUGCAGCCUGAAUGAUUUUCAAUUGCGCCAGCGGCGUUAUGAAUGCAGAAGACUUUCCAGGAGUUAUUCAGAGCUUUGUCCCUUUUUUCAGGGGUUGCCACAGCGAAUCAUUGAUUUCCAUAUUCAUCUCUACAAUUUGAAUGUUGGUACAUUGGCAAUAAGCUACAACCUGGAUGAUUUUCAAUUGAGUUCAGUGGCGUUAGAAAUGCCGAAGAUUUUCCAGGAGUUAUUUGGAGCCUGGUACCAAAUGACCAACGAACCGGCACUGGUCCACGAAGCAGGGGUUGGGCACCAUCUUCUAAACCAUAUCAACCGUGACACCUGUGAGGGCUAGGCGCUGCAGAAAUUCCAGAGAAUCCAAGCCUGGGAUUGUACGAUUUGGUGAACUGCUGUGUUAUUCAUGAAAGGCUGUACUCUGAUGGAUGCAGGAUUGAGAACAAGGACCACAGCUGAGGGAGGAGACCAGAUAGUAGAGCCACAUGUUUGACAGCAUGUGUGAUAUAAGUGAAGACAAUGUCAUACAGAGCUGAAUGUAUCAACAAGACUUGUGGCUUCAGCAGACAGAACCAUCAAACAUGGGAAUGUCCUUAAUGACCAGGUAUGGCCACUUUUAGAAAACACUCAUGCAGUCAAACCUGGCUUUAGGGAAGUGGUUCAAAGUGAAAUGAACCUUCACAAUGAACAGAUGAACUUUCUCAUUUUACCC